GGGUGCAAGCGUUAAUCGGAAUUACUGGGCGUAAAGCGUGCGCAGGCGGUUUGGCAAGAAGGAUGUGAAAUCCCAGGGCUUAACCUUGGAACUGCAUUCUUAACUGCCAGGCUAGAGUAUGUCAGAGGGGGGUAGAAUUCCACGUGUAGCAGUGAAAUGCGUAGAUAUGUGGAGGAAUACCGAUGGCGAAGGCAGCCCCCUGGGAUAAUACUGACGCUCAUGCACGAAAGCGUGGGGAGCAAACAGGACUAGAUACCCUGGUAGUCCACGCCCUAAACGAUGUCAACUAGCUGUUGGGGCCUUCGGGCCUUAGUAGCGCAGCUAACGCGUGAAGUUGACCGCCUGGGGAGUACGGUCGCAAGAUUAAAACUCAAAGGAAUUGACGGGGACCCGCACAAGCGGUGGAUGAUGUGGAUUAAUUCGAUGCAACGCGAAAAACCUUACCUACCCUUGACAUGUCUGGAAUCCCGAAGAGAUUUGGGAGUGCUCGCAAGAGAACCGGAACACAGGUGCUGCAUGGCUGUCGUCAGCUCGUGUCGUGAGAUGUUGCGUUAGGUCCCGCAACGAGCGCAACCCUUGUCAUUAGUUGCUACGAAAGGGCACUCUAAUGAGACUGCCGGUGACAAAGCGGAGGAAGGUGGGGAUGACUUC
rnacentral:rRNA from 1 species